rnacentral:rRNA from 1 species
AACGGCGAGUGAAGCGGCAACAGCUCAAAUUUGAAAUCUGGCUCUUUCAGGGUCCGAGUUGUAAUUUGCAGAGGGCGCUUUGGCGUUGGCAGCGGUCCAAGUUCCUUGGAACAGGACGUCACAGAGGGUGAGAAUCCCGUACGUGGUCGCUGGCCUUCGCCGUGUAAAGCCCCUUCGACGAGUCGAGUUGUUUGGGAAUGCAGCUCUAAAUGGGAGGUAAAUUUCUUCUAAAGCUAAAUACUGGCCAGAGACCGAUAGCGCACAAGUAGAGUGAUCGAAAGAUGAAAAGCACUUUGGAAAGAGAGUCAAAUAGCACGUGAAAUUGUUGAAAGGGAAGCGCUUGCAGCCAGACUUGCCUGUAGUUGCUCAUCCGGGCUUUUGCCCGGUGCAUUCUUCUAUAGGCAGGCCAGCAUCAGUUUGGGCGGUUAGAUAAAGGUCUCUAUCACGUACCUCCUUUCGGGGAGGCCUUAUAGGGGAGACGACAUGUAACCAGCCUGGACUGAGGUCCGCGCAUUUGCUAGGAUGCUGGCGUAAUGGCUGUAAGCGGCCCGUCUUGAAACACGGACCAAGGAGUCUAACAUCUAUGCGAGUGUUUGGGUGUCAAGCCCGAACGCGUAAUGAAAGUGAACGGAGGUGGGAACCCUUAAGGGUGCACCAUCGACCGAUCCUGAUGUCUUCGGAUGGAUUUGAGUAAGAGCAUGGCUGUUGGGACCCGAAAGAUGGUGAACUAUGCUUGAAUAGGGUGAAGCCAGAGGAAACUCUGGUGGAGGCUCGCAGCGGUUCUGACGUGCAAAUCGAUCGUCAAAUUUGGGCAUAGGGGCGAAAGACUAAUCGAACUAUCUAGUAGCUG